GACAGCAGCAGCCGCGGUAAUACGUAGGGUGCAAGCGUUAAUCGGAAUUACUGGGCGUAAAGCGUGCGCAGGCGGUUAUAUAAGACAGAUGUGAAAUCCCCGGGCUCAACCUGGGAACUGCAUUUGUGACUGUAUAGCUAGAGUACGGCAGAGGGGGAUGGAAUUCCGCGUGUAGCAGUGAAAUGCGUAGAUAUGCGGAGGAACACCGAUGGCGAAGGCAAUCCCCUGGGCCUGUACUGACGCUCAUGCACGAAAGCGUGGGGAGCAAACAGGAUUAGAUACCCCCGUAGUCCCUGUCUCUUAUAC
rnacentral:rRNA from 1 species